rnacentral:rRNA from 1 species
UACGUAGGGUGCAAGCGUUAAUCGGAAUUACUGGGCGUAAAGCGUGCGUAGGCGGUUUGUUAAGUCCGUUGUGAAGGCCCUGGGCUCAACCUGGGAAUUGCAGUGGAUACUGGCGAGCUAGAGUGCGGUAGAGGAUGGUGGAAUUCCCGGUGUAGCGGUGAAAUGCGUAGAGAUCGGGAGGAACACCCGUGGCGAAGGCGGCCAUCUGGACCAGCACUGACGCUGAGGCACGAAAGCGUGGGGAGCAAGCAGG